CGAAAAGGAAGCUGAGUCCAUUGUCCUGAUUGUCUUGAACCCCUAGGGGUUUUACUGGUAGUACAUUCGUAGAUUCUCGGAGUUCCAGCUUCGCGGGAUCAGGGUCCCCUCUAGGGACUUUAAUUUAUACGCCCCUGGUCGUUGUACCCGGGCGAUCUGAUACGGCCCCUCCCAAUUUGGGGCGAGCUUUCCUUGCUCAGUCGGUUGAGAAGCCUCGGCUCU
rnacentral:lncRNA from 1 species